AAGCCCCUUUGCGUCAGAUCCCUGUGGGCAAGCUGCUACCAGGUGAAAAGCUUGGUGAAAGAUUUUAAGGACUUCCCAUUGGCUGAAGGCUGGCAAAUGGAGUUUGCUAUCCUCUGACUGCAGCCAUUCUGAGGACUGGAAAGAAUACCCUGAGAAGGGGCCUAUUUUAUUUCUGCAGGAAGCUGGAUGCUUCCUGCCCUCGAAAAUCAGACUCCAAGUUCUUCAACUUUGGGACUCGGACCUUUGAACACAGACUGAAGCCUGCACUGUCGGCUUCCCUAGUUUUGAGGCUUUGGGACUUGGACUGACUUCCUGGAUCCUCAGCUUGCAGAUGACUUAUUGUGGGACCUCACCUUGUGAUCAUGUGAGUCAAUGCUCCUUAACAAACUCCC
rnacentral:lncRNA from 1 species